rnacentral:rRNA from 1 species
GACGAACGCUGGCGGCGUGCCUAAUACAUGCAAGUCGAGCGAACAGAAGGGAGCUUGCUCCCGGAUGUUAGCGGCGGACGGGUGAGUAACACGUGGGUAACCUGCCUGUAAGACUGGGAUAACUCCGGGAAACCGGAGCUAAUACCGGAUAGUUCCUUGAACCGCAUGGUUCAAGGAUGAAAGACGGUUUCGGCUGUCACUUACAGAUGGACCCGCGGCGCAUUAGCUAGUUGGUGGGGUAAUGGCUCACCAAGGCGACGAUGCGUAGCCGACCUGAGAGGGUGAUCGGCCACACUGGGACUGAGACACGGCCCAGACUCCUACGGGAGGCAGCAGUAGGGAAUCUUCCGCAAUGGACGAAAGUCUGACGGAGCAACGCCGCGUGAGUGAUGAAGGUUUUCGGAUCGYAAAGCUCUGUUGUUAGGGAAGA